GAUGAACGCUAGCGCCAGGCUUAACACAUGCAAGUCGAGGGGCAGCACAGGUAGCACUACCGGGUGGCGACCGGCGCACGGGUGAGUAACGCGUAUGCAACUUACCUAUCAGAGGGGGAUAACCCGGCGAAAGUCGGACUAAUACCGCAUGAAGCAGGGGUCCCGCAUGGGGAUAUUUGCUAAAGAUUCAUCGCUGAUAGAUAGGCAUGCGUUCCAUUAGGCAGUUGGCGGGGUAACGGCCCACCAAACCGACGAUGGAUAGGGGUUCUGAGAGGAAGGUCCCCCACAUGGGUACUGAGACACGGACCAAACUCCUACGGGAGGCAGCAGUGAGGAAUAUUGGUCAAUGGCCGAGAGGCUGAACCAGCCAAGUCGCGUGAGGGAGGAAGGUUCUAUGGAUCGUAAACCUCUUUUAUAAGGGAAUAAAGUGCGGGACGUGUCCCGUUUUGUAUGUACCUUAUGAAAUAGGAUCGGCUAACUCCGUG
rnacentral:rRNA from 1 species